CGGUAAUUCCAGCUCCAAUAGCGUAUACUAAAGUUGUUGCAGUUAAAAAGCUCGUAGUUGGAUUUCUGCGGGGACGGAGCGGCCGGACGCAACUUGCGUCUCGAGCUAGCGCUUUCCCCGCAUCCUGCCGCGAACCGUGCUACCAUUAGUUUGGUGGCGCUGGGGAUCGGCUCGAUUACUUUGAGAAAAAUAGAGUGUUCAAAGCAGGCCACACGCCUUGAAUAAGUUAGCAUGGAAUAAUGACUAAGGACUUCGGUUCUAUUUUGUUGGUGUUCGGGACUGAAGUAAUGAUUGAUAGGGACAGUUGGGGCGGUCUGUAUUCCAAAGCGAGAGGUGAAAUUCUUAGACCUUCGGAAGACAAACAGCUGCGAAAGCGUUCCGCAAGGAUGUUCCCUUUGAUCAAGAACGAAAGUUGGGGGAUCGAAGACGAUCAGAUACCGUCGUAGUCUCAACUAUAAACUAUACCAGCUAGGGAUCGGUCAACGUUUAAUUAUUCGACUUGAUCGGCACCUUAUGAGAAAUCAAAGCAUCUGGGUUCCGGGGGGAGUAUGGUCGCAAGGCUGAAACUUAAAGGAAUUGACGGAAGGGCACCACCAGCCGUGGAGCCUGUGGCUUAAUUUGACUCAACACGGGAAAACUUACCAGGUCCAGACAUAGUAAGGAUUGACAGAUUGAUAGCUCUUUCUUGAUUCUGUGGGUGGUGGUGCAUGGCCGUUCUUAGUUGGUGGAGUGAUUUGUCUGGUUAAUUCCGUUAACGAACGAGACCCCAGCCUGCUAAAUAGCGCGGCUGAGCUUUGCUCGGUGCGAGCUUCUUAGAGGGACUAUGAUGCGCGAUAGCACAUGGAAGUUUGGGGCAAUACCGGGUCUGUGAUGCCCUUAGAUGUUCUGGUCCGCACACGGGCUACACUGGCGCCUGCAACGAGCAUAUCAGCUGGCCCGAGAGGGUCUUGGCUAAUCUUUUGAACCGGCGCCGUGCUUGGGAUUGACCUUUGCAAUUGUUGGUCAUGCAACGAGGAAUGCCUUGUAAACGCGAGUCAUCAGCUCGCAUUGAAUACGUCCCUGCCCUUUGUACACACCGCCCGUCGCUCCUACCGAUGAAUGUUCCGAUGAAAUUUUCGGAGAGCGCCAGAGAACGGGGCUCUGCCUUGCAGAUCUGGAGGCUCAAAGUCACUUAAAUCUGAACAUUUCGAGGAAGGAGAAGUCGUAACAAGGUAACC
rnacentral:rRNA from 1 species